rnacentral:rRNA from 1 species
GACGAACGCUGGCGGCGUGCUUAACACAUGCAAGUCGAACGGAAAGGCCCUGCUUUUGUGGGGUGCUCGAGUGGCGAACGGGUGAGUAACACGUGAGUAACCUGCCCUUGACUUUGGGAUAACUUCAGGAAACUGGGGCUAAUACCGGAUAGGAGCUCCUGCUGCAUGGUGGGGGUUGGAAAGUUUCGGCGGUUGGGGAUGGACUCGCGGCUUAUCAGCUUGUUGGUGGGGUAGUGGCUUACCAAGGCUUUGACGGGUAGCCGGCCUGAGAGGGUGACCGGCCACAUUGGGACUGAGAUACGGCCCAGACUCCUACGGGAGGCAGCAGGGGGGAAUAUUGCACAAUGGGCGGAAGCCUGAUGCAGCAACGCUGCGUGCGGGAUGACGGCCUUCGGGUGGUAAACCGCUUUCGCCUGUGACGAAGCGUGAGUGACGGUAAUGGGUAAAGAAGCACCGGCUAACUACGUG